rnacentral:rRNA from 1 species
AUUGAACGCUGGCGGCAGGCCUAACACAUGCAAGUCGAGCGAGCGGCGGACGGGUGAGUAAUGUCUGGGAAACUGCCUGAUGGAGGGGGAUAACUACUGGAAACGGUAGCUAAUACCGCAUACCAUCAGAUGUGCCCAGAUGGGAUUAGCUAGUAGGUGGGGUAACGGCUCACCUAGGCGACGCUCCCUAGCUGGUCUGAGAGGAUGACCAGCCACAAGGGAACGGAGACACGGUCCAGACUCCACCGGGAGGAAGCAGUGGGAAAUAUUGCACAAUGGGCGCAAGCCGGAGGCAGCCAGGCGGCGUGUGGGAAGAGGGCCUUCGGGUUGUAAAGCACUUUCAGCGGGGAGGCGUUACCCGCAGAAGAAGCACCGGCUAACUCCGUGCCAGCAGCCGCGGUAAUAC